CAAAGAACAACGUUUCGACCCCUUAGGGCAUUUGUCAAGCUCUUCGUCAAGCUUUGUGAGCUUGACAAAGGCCCUAAGGGGUCGACACAUUGUUCU